UUGCACCUGAUGGCGAGUGGCGCCCUUUGUGAGUAAUGCAUCGGAACGUGCCCAGUCGUGGGGGAUAACGCAGCGAAAGCUGUGCUAAUACCGCAUACGAUCUAUGGAUGAAAGCGGGGGACCUUCGGGCCUCGCGCGAUUGGAGCGGCCGAUGUUAGAUUAGGUAGUUGGUGGGGUAAAGGCUCACCAAGCCAACGAUCUAUAGCUGGUCUGAGAGGACGACCAGCCACACUGGAACUGAGACACGGUCCGGACUCCUACGGGAGGCAGCAGUGGGGAAUUUUGGACAAUGGGCGAAAGCCUGAUCCAGCAAUACCGCGUGCAGGAAGAAGGCCCUCGGGUUGUAAACUGCUUUUGUACGGAACGAAACGGCGCGCUCUAAUAAAGUGCGCUAAUGACGGUACCGUAAGAAUAAGCACCGGCUAACUACGUGCCAGCAGCCGCGGUAAUACGUAGGGUGCGAGCGUUAAUCGGAAUUACUGGGCGUAAAGCGUGCGCAGGCGGUUUUGUAAGACAGGCGUGAAAUCCCCGGGCUCAACCUGGGAAUUGCGCUUGUGACUGCAAGGCUAGAGUACGGUAGAGGGGGGUAGAAUUCCGCGUGUAGCAGUGAAAUGCGUAGAUAUGCGGAGGAACACCGAUGGCGAAGGCAGCCCCCUGGACCUGUACUGACGCUCAUGCACGAAAGCGUGGGGAGCAAACAGGAUUAGAUACCCUGGUAG
rnacentral:rRNA from 1 species